rnacentral:RNase_P_RNA from 1 species
GAAGCCCGCCAGACUGCCGCUGGUGCAAUCUGGGAAACCAGGCACUGGAGGAACGUCCGGACUGCAUAGGGCAGCGUAGCAGCUAACGGCUGUCCACUGAAAGCCGCAAGGUAUAAGGUGAGGAUCAGAGCAACAGAGACGAGCCGAUUAAGUUCGGGUGAAACGGGCAAUCUCUACGCGCAGCAAUACCAAGUAGGCACACGUUGACGGGGCCCCCGGAGUGUGCGGGUAGGUAGCAUCGAGCCGCUGGGUGAUCAGCGGCCCAGAGUAAUGGCAGUCACUUCCGCAGGCCCGCAAGGGCUUGCGGUUGCACAGAAUCCGGCUUAUCGGUGGGCUUCACAC